rnacentral:rRNA from 1 species
AUUGAACGCUGGCGGCAUGCUUUACACAUGCAAGUCGAACGGCAGCGCGGGCUUCGGCCUGGCGGCGAGUGGCGAACGGGUGAGUAAUGCAUCGGAACGUGCCCAGUAGUGGGGGAUAGCCCGGCGAAAGCCGGAUUAAUACCGCAUACGACCUGAGGGUGAAAGCGGGGACCGAAAGGCCUCGCGCUAUUGGUGCGGCCGAUGUCGGAUUAGCUAGUUGGUGGGGUAAAGGCUUACCAAGGCGACGAUCCGUAGCUGGUCUGAGAGGACGACCAGCCACACUGGGACUGAGACACGGCCCAGACUCCUACGGGAGGCAGCAGUGGGGAAUUUUGGACAAUGGGGGCAACCCUGAUCCAGCCAUGCCGCGUGCGGGAAGAAGGCCUUCGGGUUGUAAACCGCUUUUGUUCGGGAAGAAAUCCUCUGGGCUAAUACCCCGGGGGGAUGACGGUACCGGAAGAAUAAGCACCGGCUAACUACGUG